rnacentral:rRNA from 1 species
GCUUGUUGGGGUUGUAGGACACUCUAUACGGAGUUACAAAAGAACAUGUUAGACGAAUCAUCUGGAAAGAUGAAUCAAAGAAGGUAAUAAUCCUGUAGUCGAAAACAUAUUCUCUCUUGAGUGGAUCCUGAGUACGACGGAGCACGUGAAAUUCCGUCGGAAUCUGGGAGGACCAUCUCCUAAGGCUAAAUACUCUCUAGUGACCGAUAGUGAACCAGUACCGUGAGGGAAAGGUGAAAAGUACCCCGGAAGGGGAGUGAAAGAGAACUUGAAACCGUGUGCUUACAAGUAGUCAGAGCCCGUUAAUGGGUGAUGGCGUGCCUUUUGUAGAAUGAACCGGCGAGUUACGAUCUGAUGCAAGGUUAAGCAGCAAAUGUGGAGCCGCAGCGAAAGCGAGUCUGAAUAGGGCGUUGAGUAUUUGGUCGUAGACCCGAAACCAGGUGAUCUACCCUUGGUCAGGUUGAAGUUCAGGUAACACUGAAUGGAGGACCGAACCGACUUACGUUGAAAAGUGAGCGGAUGAACUGAGGGUAGCGGAGAAAUUCCAAUCGAACUUGGAGAUAGCUGGUUCUCUCCGAAAUAGCUUUAGGGCUAGCCUCAAGUGAUGAUUAUUGGAGGUAGAGCACUGUUUGGACGAGGGGCCCCUCUCGGGUUACCGAAUUCAGACAAACUCCGAAUGCCAAUUAAUUUAACUUGGGAGUCAGAACAUGGGUGAUAAGGUCCGUGUUCGAAAGGGAAACAGCCCAGACCACCAGCUAAGGUCCCAAAAUAUAUGUUAAGUGGAAAAGGAUGUGGCGUUGCCCAGACAACUAGGAUGUUGGCUUAGAAGCAGCCAUCAUUUAAAGAGUGCGUAAUAGCUCACUAGUCGAGUGACACUGCGCCGAAAAUGUACCGGGGCUAAACAUAUUACCGAAGCUGUGGAUUGUCCUUUGGACAAUGGUAGGAGAGCGUUCUAAGGGCGUCGAAGCAUGAUCGCAAGGACAUGUGGAGCGCUUAGAAGUGAGAAUGCCGGUGUGAGUAGCGAAAGACGGGUGAGAAUCCCGUCCACCGAUUGACUAAGGUUUCCAGAGGAAGGCUCGUCCGCUCUGGGUUAGUCGGGUCCUAAGCUGAGGCCGACAGGCGUAGGCGAUGGAUAACAGGUUGAUAUUCCUGUACCACCUAGUAUCGUUUUAAUCGAUGGGGGGACGCAGUAGGAUAGGCGAAGCGUGCUGUUGGAGUGCACGUCCAAGCAGUAAGGCUGAGUGUUAGGCAAAUCCGGCACUCAUAAGGCUGAGCUGUGAUGGGGAGAGGAAAUUGUUUCCUCGAGUCGUUGAUUUCACACUGCCGAGAAAAGCCUCUAGAUAGAUAACAGGUGCCCGUACCGCAAACCGACACAGGUAGUCAAGAUGAGAAUUCUAAGGUGAGCGAGCGAACUCUCGUUAAGGAACUCGGCAAAAUGACCCCGUAACUUCGGGAGAAGGGGUGCUCUUUAGGGUUCACGCCCAGAAGAGCCGCAGUGAAUAGGCCCAAGCGACUGUUUAUCAAAAACACAGGUCUCUGCUAAACCGUAAGGUGAUGUAUAGGGGCUGACGCCUGCCCGGUGCUGGAAGGUUAAGAGGAGUGGUUAGCUUCUGCGAAGCUACGAAUCGAAGCCCCAGUAAACGGCGGCCGUAACUAUAACGGUCCUAAGGUAGCGAAAUUCCUUGUCGGGUAAGUUCCGACCCGCACGAAAGGCGUAACGAUUUGGGCACUGUCUCAACGAGAGACUCGGUGAAAUCAUAGUACCUGUGAAGAUGCAGGUUACCCGCGACAGGACGGAAAGACCCCGUGGAGCUUUACUGUAGCCUGAUAUUGAAAUUCGGCACAGCUUGUACAGGAUAGGUAGGAGCCUUUGAAACGUGAGCGCUAGCUUACGUGGAGGCGUUGGUGGGAUACUACCCUAGCUGUGUUGGCUUUCUAACCCGCACCACUUAUCGUGGUGGGAGACAGUGUCAGGCGGGCAGUUUGACUGGGGCGGUCGCCUCCUAAAAGGUAACGGAGGCGCUCAAAGGUUCCCUCAGAAUGGUUGGA